rnacentral:rRNA from 1 species
GUCUACGGCCAUGCCACCCUGAACAAGCCCGAUCCCAUCUGAUGCCACCCUGAACAAGCCUGAUCCUAUCUGAUCUUGGAAGCUAAGCAGGGUCGGGACUGGUUAGUACUUGGAUGGGAGACCACCUAGGAAGACCAGGUGCUGCAGGUG